rnacentral:rRNA from 1 species
GACGAACGCUGGCGGCGUGCUUAACACAUGCAAGUCGAACGGAAAGGCCUCUUUCGGGGGGUACUCGAGUGGCGAACGGGUGAGUAACACGUGAGUAACCUGCCCUAGACUUUGGGAUAACUUCAGGAAACUGGGGCUAAUACCGGAUAGGAGCUCCUGCUGCAUGGUGGGGGUUGGAAAGUUUCGGCGGUUGGGGAUGGACUCGCGGCUUAUCAGCUUGUUGGUGGGGUAGUGGCUUACCAAGGCUUUGACGGGUAGCCGGCCUGAGAGGGUGACCGGCCACAUUGGGACUGAGAGACGGCCCAGACUCCUACGGGAGGCAGCAGGGGGGAAUAUUGCACAAUGGGUGGAAGCCUGAUGCAGCAACGCCGUGUGCGGGAUGACGGCCUUCGGGUUGUAAACCGCUUUCGCUCAUGACGAAGCUUUGUGUGACGGUAGUGGGUAAAGAAGCACCGGCUAACUACGUG